rnacentral:rRNA from 1 species
GACGAACGCUGGCGGCGUGCUUAACACAUGCAAGUCGAACGAGACGAUUUAGAAGCUUGCUUUUAUUGAGUCGAGUGGCAAACGGGUGAGUAACGCGUAGACAACCUGCCGCAAAGAUGGGGACAACAGUCCGAAAGGACUGCUAAUACCGAAUGUUGUAUCUCCUCCGCAUGGAAGAGAUAUUAAAGAUGGCCUCUACUUGUAAGCUAUCGCUUUGCGAUGGGUCUGCGUCUGAUUAGCUAGUUGGUGGGGCAACGGCCUACCAAGGCGACGAUCAGUAGCCGGUCUGAGAGGAUGAACGGCCACAUUGGAACUGAGACACGGUCCAGACUCCUACGGGAGGCAGCAGUGGGAAUCUUCCGCAAUGGGCGAAAGCCUGACGGAGCAAUGCCGCGUGAGUGAUGAAGGAAUCGUCCGUAAAGCUCUUUGUUAUGACGAAUGUGCAGAUUGUGAAUAAUGAUCUG